GAAAUAUAAUAUAAUUAAGCUUCUAACUUAAUUAAUAGUGAUUAAUCUCAUUAAUAUUUCU
rnacentral:tRNA from 1 species